UACGGGGGGGGCAAGCGUUGUUCGGAAUUACUGGGCGUAAAGGGCUCGUAGGCGGCCAACUAAGUCAGACGUGAAAUCCCCAGGCUUAACCUGGGAACUGCGUCUGAUACUGGAUGGCUUGAGUGCAGGAGAGGAACGCGGAAUUCCAGGUGUAGCGGUGAAAUGCGUAGAUAUCUGGAGGAACACCGGUGGCGAAGGCGGCGUUCUGGACUGCAACUGACACUGAGGAACGAAAGCCAGGGGAGCAAACGGG
rnacentral:rRNA from 1 species